ensembl:lncRNA
GUUCAGCUUCUUCUACGUUUUUUUUUUUUUUUAGAGAAGUGGAAAUGUUUGCAGAGAGAUGAAUGCUCACUCGCAGCAAAAAAAACCAAAAAAACAAACAAACAAAAAACCCCAUCAAACCUUGUUUGUGAGCUCGCUGUUUGGAAAUGGACUACUUUCAAAAGACGUCUGGGGGAAUAAGAAGGUAAAAUGCAGCUUUGAAUGGCAAGUCAGUGGUGUUUUCACGCUUUUUAUUAAGCAUUAACCACUUAAGGUCACAUCUUAUGAUUCAGUUAUUCAUCUUAAAGCAUAACCGUCAUUUUAUUCAUCGGAUUAUUCAGUAACUACUGUGAAUUAUUUAGCAACCGCUCAUAUGAAAAGAUAUGUAGCUGGGGAAUGUGGGCAUUAUCGGUGUAACGCAGCGUCACUAGCUGUAUCUGUUUAGUGCUCCGAAUAACUAUAUCCGUAUCUGUAUUUGGAUUUUAAGUGGGCGUGGCCUAAAAGAGAAGUUAUUAUUAGACGUUUAAAAAUUAAAUAGGAAUCCUUAGACUAUGACCUCAGAAACACCGGAAAACUCUGGAAAUAAACUGAGGUAGAAGCGUGCACCAAACAUUUCUGGCAAGCUUUCACAAAACAAAACAAGACAAAACAAAGCAAGACAAAACAAAACAAGACAAAACAAGACAAGACAAAACAAGACAAGACAACACAAACAAGACAACACAAGUCAAGACAAGACAAAACAAG